UUAAGUCAGGCAACAAGCGAGAUCCCUGCCUCUAGUUGCUACUAAUGCUCUCAGGAGUAUUGGGGCUAAUUAGAGGGACUGCCGUCGCUGAGACGGAGGAAGGAGGGGGCUACGGCAGGUCAGUAUGCCCCGAAACCCUCGGGCCACACGCGGGCUGCAAUGGUAAGGACAAUAAGUUCCAAUUCCGAAAGGAGAAGGCAAUCUCUAAACCUUACCUCAGUUAUGAUUGAGGGCUGAAACUCGUCCUCAUGAAUAUGGAAUCCCUAGUAACCGCGUGUCACUAUCGCGCGGUGAAUACGUCCCUGCUCCUUGCACA
rnacentral:rRNA from 1 species